UUUCCCGGCAGGCCUUGCCACAGAGGCCUCUCCCGCUGGGGCCGGGGCGGGGCGGGCUGGCAGUGCCGCGGACCCGGCUCCCUCCAGCCCCCUCCCUCUCACCCCAUCCCGGCCCUCUGCCCAACCCUACCCCGACCUGGACCUCUCCCGGCGGCUGGCUCCUAGGCAUCCUCUCCUCCAGGUGCCCCGCUGUGACCUGCGGAGCUGCAGACAGACGACAAGACAGGUGUACCAUGAACAUCUCUUCCAUGCACGUGGGUGAAAAUCCCUGACUGAAACACAGAGAGCACUGUAGUUGGAUCAAAAGGCUGCUGUUGUGACAGCUGAUCACAGGGAGGGUACCCGACUUCUCCAAGAGCGCUCCACACGGAGCCCCACAGCCCGCUUUCAAGACCAGGUCCGCCUGACUCCAGAGCCCUGGUGGUGGUGCCGGCCAGGAAGCUGCGCUGCCUCCUUGAGUAGCAACUACGUCCUGAGUCUCUGCUCUUCUCGGUCCAUGUGUUCUCGCUCCCUGGCUGAUCUCUGUUCAUUUCCCUCUAAACACAGAUGAUUUCCAAAUCUACAUAUCCAGGUUAUUCCCUCCCUUGAGUCUCAGACCCAUUUUUGCUUUCCCACCAGCAAUAUAGGAGAGUGCUUAUUUCCCCACACCCUUUCCAACAUAGUGUGUGACAUACUAUUUUUCACUAAUAUGAUAGGUGAGAAGUAUAU